UACGAAGGGGGCUAGCGUUGUUCGGAAUUACUGGGCGUAAAGCGCGCGUAGGCGGUUUUACAAGCCAGAGGUGAAAUGCCCGAGCUUAACUUGGGAAUUGCCUUUGGAACUGUAUGGCUUUGAGGACGAGAGAGGUGAGUGGAAUUCCCAGUGUAGAGGUGAAAUUCGUAGAUAUUGGGAAGAACACCGGUGGCGAAGGCGGCUCACUGGCUCGUUUCUGACGCUGUAGCGCGAAAGCGUGGGGAUCAAACAGG
rnacentral:rRNA from 1 species